rnacentral:rRNA from 1 species
UACGUAGGGGGCGAGCGUUGUCCGGAGUUACUGGGCGUAAAGCGCACGCAGGCGGUCGCGCAAGUUUGGGGUUACAGCUCCCGGCUCAACUGGGAGAGCGCCUCGAAGACUGGGUGACUUGAGAGCCAGAGAGGGACACAGAAUUCCGGGUGGAGUGGUGAAAUGCGUAGAUAUCCGGAGGAAUACCAAAGGCGAAGGCAGUGUCCUGGCUGGUAUCUGACGCUCAGGUGCGAAAGCUAGGGGAGCGAACGGG